GAUGAACGCUGGCGGCGUGCCUAAUACAUGCAAGUAGAACGCUGAAGGAGGGAGCUUGCUCUUUCCGGAUGAGUCGCGAACGGGUGAGUAACGCGUAGGUAACCUGCCUGGUAGCGGGGGAUAACUAUUGGAAACGAUAGCUAAUACCGCAUAACAGUAGAUGUUGCAUGAUAUCUACUUAAAAGGUGCAAUUGCACCACUACCAGAUGGACCUGCGUUGUAUUAGCUAGUUGGUGAGGUAACGGCUCACCAAGGCGACGAUACAUAGCCGACCUGAGAGGGUGAUCGGCCACACUGGGACUGAGACACGGCCCAGACUCCUACGGGAGGCAGCAGUAGGGAAUCUUCGGCAAUGGACGGAAGUCUGACCGAGCAACGCCGCGUGAGUGAAGAAGGGUUUCGGAUCGUAAAGCUCUGUUGUAAGAGAAGAACGAGUGUGAGAGUGGAAAGUUCACACUGUGACGGUAUCUUACCAGAAAGGGACGGCUAACUACGUG
rnacentral:rRNA from 1 species